UGGGGAAUAUUGCACAAUGGGCGCAAGCCUGAUGCAGCAACGCCGCGUGAACGAUGAAGGUCUUCGGAUCGUAAAGUUCUGUUGCAGGGGAAGAUAAUGACGGUACCCUGUGAGGAAGCCCCGGCUAACUACGUGCCAGCAGCCGCGGUAAUACGUAGGGGGCUAGCGUUAUCCGGAUUUACUGGGCGUAAAGGGUGCGUAGGUGGUCUUUCAAGUCGGUGGUUAAAGGCUACGGCUCAACCGUAGUUAGCCUCCGAAACUGGAAGACUUGAGUGCAGGAGAGGAAAGUGGAAUUUUUAGUGUAGCGGUGAAAUGCGUAGAUAUUAAAAAGAAUACCGGUGGCGAAGGCGACUUGCUGGGCACAAUCUGACGCUGAGGAACGAAAGCGUGGGGAGCAAACAGG
rnacentral:rRNA from 1 species